rnacentral:rRNA from 1 species
UACGGAGGGAGCUAGCGUUGUUCGGAAUUACUGGGCGUAAAGCGCACGUAGGCGGCUACUCAAGUCAGAGGUGAAAGCCCGGGGCUCAACCCCGGAACUGCCUUUGAAACUAGGUGGCUAGAAUCUUGGAGAGGUCAGUGGAAUUCCGAGUGUAGAGGUGAAAUUCGUAGAUAUUCGGAAGAACACCAGUGGCGAAGGCGACUGACUGGACAAGUAUUGACGCUGAGGUGCGAAAGCGUGGGGAGCAAACAGG